rnacentral:lncRNA from 1 species
UUUUUUCUUUUUUUUUUUUGCUUUUUAGGGCCACACUCGAGACAUAUGGAGGUUCCCAGUACUCGAUAGUAAGAAAUUAAACCCCAAUCAAAAAAUGGGCAUGAAACAAGAUAUUUUACCAAAGAAGAUACAUGAAUGGUAAUAAGCACAUGAAAAUAUGCUCUAUGUUAUUAGUCAUUAGAGAAACGCAAACUGAAAAUCACAAGAUACCACAUCUAUGAGAAAAGCUAAAUCACAACUGAUCAUAACAAGUGUUGACAAGUGUCAGAGUCUGAAUUGUGUACCCCAACUUCAUAGGUUGAAACGCUAGAACCUCUGGGUCUUUAAAGAGGUGAUUAAGUUAAAAUGAGGGGCCCAAAUCUAAUGACGGGGUGUCCUUAUAAGAGGAAAUUCAGAAAAAAAAAAACUACCAAGAAAAGACCACACACAGAGGUAACAAGAGAGCAGCCAUCUACAAGUCAAGGAGAAAGGCCUCAGCAGAAGGCAACCCUGCCAAAAUUUAAUCCUGCACUUUCACCCUCAAGAACUACAAGAAAACAAAUUGCUGCUGUUUAAACCAUGCAGUCUAUGAUAUUUGAUUAUGGCAGGCUAGCAAACUGAUACAGCAAGCAUGUGAAGAAACUGUUUUAACUCUCAUACUGCUCAUGGAAAUGCCAAAUGGUGUAACCACUCUGAAAAAUAGUAAUGAUGUCUUAAAAACCUUAAAAAUAUACCUACCAUAUGAUCCAGCCAUUCCACAACUGGGUAUUUAUCACCUCCCUCAAAGAAAAAGCCCAAAGACUGUACACAAAUGUUUAAGGCAUAUUUAUUUCUAGUAGUUCCCAACUAGAGUUUCUACAAUGAACAGAUGAACAGACAGACAAACUAGGGUUUCUUUAAUGGAAUACACACAACAGGGUGAAUCUGAAAAUAAUUAUGCUGAGUAAAGGAAAUUAAGCAGAAUGGAGCAUAUAGUGCAUAAUUUCAUUAACAUAUAAUUCUAGAAAAGGUAAACUAAUCUAUAGUGAAAGAGGAGAUCAGUGGUUACCUGGGGAUAGCAAGGGAUAACAAGAAAGGGUUAUAAAGGUGCACAAGGGCUUUGUAGUGAUAGACAGAUGUGCAUUGCAACGGUGGGAUAGAUAUUUCAAGACAUGAAAUUACAUACGUCAAAUGUGUGUUGUCUUCUGUAAGUCAAUUAUAUUUCCUUUUUUUUUUUUUCCCCCAGCUUUUUGCGAUUUUUCUUGGGCCGCUCCCUUGGCAUAUGGAGAUUCCCAGGCUAGGGGUCUAAUCGGAGCUGUAGCCACCAGCCUACACCAGAGCCACAGCAACGCGGGAUCUGAGCCGCAUCUUCUACCUAACCUACAGCUCACGGCAACGCUGGAUCGUUAACCCACUGAGCAAGGGCAGAGAUCAAACCCGCAACCUCAUGGUUCCUAGUCGGAUUCGUUAACCACUGCGCCAUGACGGGAACUCCAUCAAUUAUAUUUCAAUGAAACUGUUAAAAACUUACAUAUAUGUGUAUUAUACAUUUAACACUACAAAGGAAAAAUGGACACAAAAUCAUCCAUCAAUAAAGGUUUCUGGAGUUCCCACUGUGGCACAAUGGGAUUGAUGGUGUCUGCAGCAGCAGGGAUAUGGGUUCAAUCCCUGACCCAGCACGUUGCCACAGUUGAGGUGCAGGUCACAAUUGAAGCUCAGAUUCAAUCCAUGCCCGGGAACUCCAUAUGCCACAGAGUGGCCAAAAAAGAAAAAUAAAGUAAAAUAAAUAAAUGAAUAAGGGUUUCCAACAAAUUUCUUUCAGGCCUUGACAGAUGGAGUAAGUAAAAAAUUAAGAAUACAGGGAGUUCCCAUCGUGGUGCAGUGGAAACGAAUCUGACUAGGAACCAUGAAGUUGCAGGUUCAAUCCCUCGCCUCACUCAGGGGGUUAAGGAUCUGGCACUGCUGUGGCUCUGGUGUAGGCCGGCAGCUGUAGCUCUGAUUAGACCCCUAGCUUGGGAACCCCCAUAUGCCGCAGAUGCGGCCCUAAAAAAAAGACAAAAGACCAAAAAACAAAACAAAACAACAACAACAACAAAAAAAACUAAUAAGAAUGCAGGAAAACAUUAAGUUGGAAAAUACAAAUGCAUAUUCACAAUGUAACUCUACAAGAAGAGAAUUUCUCCUAUUCAAGGAUUUACAAUGCUACACAAAGAGUGAAUGAACACAUUCGACCAGUAAAGAACAUCUUAACAAAUUAUAAAAAGAAAAAAAAAUUCAAAUAUUCUAAUCAUGAUACAAUAAAACUUAAAAUUCCUGACAACAACAAAGACACCCCAAAAAAAGCCACUAACCUAUCAGAAUUUAAAAUACUCUCUAUAUAAUUGAAUGUUAGGCAAAGGGGGAAAUCAAAAACACAAAAAUAGAUUAUCUAGAAAAUGGUAAGUAAAAUUAAAACCCACCAGGAGUUCCCAUCGUGGCGCCACCGAAACAAAUCCGACUAGGAACCAUGAGGUUUCGGGUUCAAUUCCUGGCCUUGCUCAAGUGGGCUAAGGAUCCAGCAUUGCUGUGAGCUGUGGCGUAGGUUGCAGACUUGGCAUUGC